rnacentral:tRNA from 1 species
GCCAAGUUAGCCAAGGUGGUCACGGCGCGGGUCUGAAAAACCUGAGAUCUCAGUUCGACUCUGAGACUUGGCACCA